rnacentral:rRNA from 1 species
GAUAAACGCUAGCGACAGGCCUAACACAUGCAAGUCGAGGGGCAUCACGUCUUCGGAUGGUGGCGACCGGCGCACGGGUGAGUAACACGUAUGCAACCUACCUGUAAGAGGGGAAUAACCCGGAGAAAUUCGGACUAACACCGCAUAAUACAUAAUUACCGCAUGGUAUUUAUGUUAAAUAUUUAUAGCUUACAGAUGGGCAUGCGUAUGAUUAGCUAGUUGGUGAGGUAACGGCUCACCAAGGCAACGAUCAUUAGGGGUUCUGAGAGGAAGGUCCCCCACACUGGUACUGAGACACGGACCAGACUCCUACGGGAGGCAGCAGUGAGGAAUAUUGGUCAAUGGGCGAGAGCCUGAACCAGCCAUGUCGCGUGAAGGAAGAAUGUCCUAUGGAUUGUAAACUUCUUUUAUACAGGAAUAAAGUGUACUACGUGUAGUAUUUUGUAUGUACUGUAUGAAUAAGGAUCGGCUAACUCCGUGCCAGCAGCCGGGUAACGUAAACG